rnacentral:rRNA from 1 species
CACGCCCUAAACGAUGUCAACUAGUUGUUGGUAGGGUUAAACCUAUUAGUAACGUAGCUAACGCGUGAAGUUGACCGCCUGGGGAGUACGGUCGCAAGAUUAAAACUCAAAGGAAUUGACGGGGACCCGCACAAGCGGUGGAUGAUGUGGAUUAAUUCGAUGCAACGCGAAAAACCUUACCUACCCUUGACAUGUCAAGAAUCCCUGAGAGAUUAGGGAGUGCCGCAAGGAACUUGAACACAGGUGC